AACGAACGCUGGCGGCAUGCCUAACACAUGCAAGUCGAACGAGACCUUCGGGUCUAGUGGCGCACGGGUGCGUAACGCGUGGGAACCUGCCUUUAGGUUCGGAAUAACUCCCCGAAAGGGGUGCUAAUACCGGAUAAUGUCUUCGGACCAAAGGUUUAUCGCCUUUGGAUGGGCCCGCGUUGGAUUAGCUAGUUGGUAGGGUAAAAGCCUACCAAGGCGACGAUCCAUAGCUGGUCUGAGAGGAUGAUCAGCCACACUGGGACUGAGACACGGCCCAGACUCCUACGGGAGGCAGCAGUGGGGAAUAUUGGACAGUGGGCGAAAGCCUGAUCCAGCAAUGCCGCGUGAGUGAUGAAGGCCUUAGGGUUGUAAAGCUCUUUUACCCGGGAUGAUAAUGACAGUACCGGGAGAAUAAGCUCCGGCUAACUCCGUG
rnacentral:rRNA from 1 species